rnacentral:rRNA from 1 species
UACGUAGGGUCCGAGCGUUGUCCGGAAUUAUUGGGCGUAAAGGGCUCGUAGGCGGUUUGUCGCGUCGGGAGUGAAAACUCAGGGCUCAACCCUGAGCGUGCUUCUGAUACGGGCAGACUAGAGGUAUUCAGGGGAGAACGGAAUUCCUGGUGUAGCGGUGGAAUGCGCAGAUAUCAGGAGGAACACCGGUGGCGAAGGCGGUUCUCUGGGAAUUACCUGACGCUGAGGAGCGAAAGCAUGGGGAGCGAACAGG